rnacentral:ncRNA from 1 species
CGGUUUGCGUGGCAAGCCACGUGAUUAAAAGGGAACCGGGUGAGAAUCCCGGACAACCGCCAUUACCGUAUCAGAUGAGGGAAUACCCGUACAUCCGCAUUGCCAUUGGGAAACUGAGAAGGCGCGGGUGUAUGUAUAUCGUAAAGGAUAUACUAAUCUCAAGCCGGGAGACCUGCCGUCAAAGG